ACUCUUGUUUCUCUUCAGAUCGUACAAAUCUUUCGCCUUUUACUAAAGAUUUCCGUGGAGAGGAACAACAAGAGAUUAUCUCAAUUUUUGAACGCCCCGUCUCGCGGCGGGGCU